AGAGUUUGAUCAUGGCUCAGGAUGAACGCUGGCGGCGUGCUUAAUACAUGCAAGUCGAACGGAGGUAUGUAGCAAUAUAUAUCUUAGUGGCGAACGGGUGAGUAACGCGUUGGUGACCUACCCCAGAGAGGGGGAUAACAGCUCGAAAGGGCUGCUAAUACCCCAUGAGAUCAUGGUAGUUAGAGAGCUAUGAUGAAAGGUGCAAACCGCUCUGGGAGGGGCCUGCGUCCCAUCAGCUAGUUGGUAGGGUAACGGCCUACCAAGGCGACGACGGGUAGGGGGCCUGAGAGGGUGAUCCCCCACACUGGCACUGAAACACGGGCCAGACACCUACGGGUGGCAGCAGUAGGGAAUAUUGCACAAUGGGCGCAAGCCUGAUGCAGCAACGCCGCGUGCGCGAUGAAGGCCUUCGGGUCGUAAAGCGCUUUUCGGGGAGAUGAGGAAGGACAGUAUCCUCGGAAGAAGGAUCGGCUAACUACGUGCCAGCAGCCGCGGUAAAACGUAGGAUCCGAGCGUUAUCCGAAUUCACUGGGCGUAAAGCGCGUGCAGGCGGUUCGGUAAGUUGGAUGUGAAAUCUCCCGGCUCAACUGGGAGGGGACGUUCAAUACUGUCGGACUCGAGGACGGUAGAGGGAGGUGGAAUUCCCGGUGUAGUGGUGAAAUGCGUAGAUAUCGGGAGGAACACCAGUGGCGAAGGCGGCCUCCUGGACCGUACCUGACGCUCAGACGCGAAAGCUAGGGGAGCGAACGGGAUUAGAAACCCCGGUAGUCCUAGCCGUAAACGAUGUAGACUUGGUGUCGGGGGUGUAAAAACCGUCGGUGCCGAAGCAAACGCGAUAAGUCUACCGCCUGGGGACUACGGCCGCAAGGUUAAAACUUAAAUGAAUUGACGG
rnacentral:rRNA from 1 species